AGGCGUCGGGCGGCCGCGUGGCCUAAUGGAUAAGGCGUCUGACUUCGGAUCAGAAGAUUGCAGGUUCGAGUCCUGCCGCGGUCGCAAGGGAGUCUGCCUACAAUUUUUGGUUCAGUCCUCCUUAGGAAGGUUAGCGUCGGGACCUAGGAAAUGUUAACGUCUGUUUCCACCCCACAAAAGACCUGGGACUACCCCGAUCCUCGGAAGUAACUGCUGCGGCUCUACACGCCCCAGCGAAGUUGUUCAACUGUGUUCCUGGCGCGGGGGCUCGUUUCUAAAUCGUACCCCCGACGCAGGGGGAGGAGCCAGGAGGGCGAGGGGCGUCUUUUACGGAAAUCCCACUUUACAAUCGGUUGGUACGUGGGAAUGACAAGGGUUCGCAACUGGAAGGGAGCCGCGUCCUGCCCCGCCCCGUGCUCCCUGUCUCCAUCCUGGGCAAUCCUGAUGGGACAACGUGCUCUCUUUCCUGGAACCCGAAUCAGCAUUGGUCGCAAGCCCCCGCCUGCGGAGCCUUCCAGUCUCUGCGGUCUCCUGCCGCUCUCCAUCCACCUCCUCUUGCUCCAGGGGCCGCAGCAGCUCUGCUUUCCGUGCUCCUUGGUCCGAGGUUGAUAGACUGUAAAGUACCUGGUGGAAUAAGGCCCAUGUGAAUAACAAGAGCCUGGAGGUUGGAGCCCGGAGACCCAGCUGCGCGGAUUUGAGAUCAAGAGAGAUUUGAGGUCGACCUGAGUUCACAGCGCUGAUUAUGGACCAAAUUCAGGCCUCGCUGAAAAUCAUUCCCCACCUUCCAGCCUAUGCGUGUGUCAGGACACCCUGAACUUAUUUGACAAACUGACUUCGGUAUUGUUCAAGGGUAGGGUGGGGAGAUACCCAGGCAAACACCCUCCUCGCGCCGGCCCCCCACGCUGUGGCCCCCAAAGAGGCCCUGGGAAGCCCCAGGCCAAGGCUUGGGAAGGCAAUGCUGAGGCUUGGUUUCUCCAUAUAUCUCCCCUUUCUUUAUUUUGAAGUAUGAAAUAUUUUUCAUAAACCGUUCUGGGUGUAUUUCAUAAACACACAAAUGUUUGAUUUUCUCCUGGGGGGAAAAAUACAAUCAACUGCAAAUCCA
rnacentral:tRNA from 1 species